rnacentral:lncRNA from 13 species
CGCACUGGGAAACAUGUGUUUACAUUGCCAAAGCAAGUGAAAUAGAUAAUAAACAUAAAUAAAAAAAUGUACAGUAAACAUUACACUCACAAAAGUAAAGAAAUAAUACAAACAUUUAAAAUGUCAUAUUUAAGCAAUAAGGCCUCAGGAGGUGUGGUAUAUGGCCAAUAUACAACGGCUAAGGGCUGUUCUUCCGCACGAUGCAAUGCAGAGUGCUGGGAUACAUGUCAUGUACUGUCAUGUUGUCUUGUCUCUGUGUCCUUUCCCUUCACCCUGUCUCCCUCUGCUGGUUGUGUUAGGUUACCUUUUCUCCCCCGCUUUCCCCCAGCUGUCCCUUGUCUCCUCUAACUACCCAUUCACCCCGUUCCCCACCUGUUCCCUUUUUCCCUCUGAUUAGGUCCCAAUAUCUCUCUCUGUUUCUGCUCCUGUCCUUGUCGGAUUCUUGUUUGUUUGUGUCAUUCAUGCCUGAACCAGACUGUCGUCAUGUUUGCUGUAACCUUGUCCUGUCCUGUCGGAAUCUGCCGGUCCAUCUGAGCCUACCUAUGUUUGGUAAUUAAAGAAGCUCUGUUUAAGUUGAUUCGCUUUUGGGUCCUCAUUCACGCACCGUAACAAUACAGGCCUUAGCUGUGGUAUAUUGGUCAUAUAUAUUAUAUAUAUUGGUCAUAUACCACAAAACCCCCGAGGUGUUAUCAGAAACUGGUUACCAAUGUAAUUAGAGCAGUUAAAAUAAAUGUUUUGUCGUACCUGUGGUAUACGGUCUGAUAUACCAUGUCUGUCAGCAAAUCAGCAUUCAGGGCUCAAACCACCCAGUUUAUAAUAUGUCUGUAUAGUGUUGUAAUGAAAUAUUGGUUGUAUUUACAAUGGUGUUUGUCCUUCACUGGGUGCCUUUUCUUGUGGUAACAUGUCACAAAUCUUGCUGCUGUGAUUGCACCCUAGUAUUUCACCCAAUAGAUAUAGGAGUUUAUCAAAAUUGGAUUUGUUUUCGAAAUAUUUUGGGUCUGUGUAAUCAGAUGGAAACAUGUGUCUAUAAUAUGGUCAUACAUUUGUCAGGAGGUUAGGAAGUGCAGCUCAGUUUCCACCUCAUUUUGUGGGCAGUGUGCACAUAGCCAGGUCUGCCUACGGCGGCCUUUAUCAAUAGCAAGGCUAUGCUCACUGAGUCUGUACAUAGUCAAAGAUUUUCUUAAUUUUUGGUCAGUCACAGUGGUCAGUUUUUAUGUUGUACACAGAUGAUUUUUUUUGCAGAAUUCUGCAUGCAGUCUCAAUUUGGUGUUUGUCCCAUUUUGUGAAUUCUUGGAUGGUGAGCGGACCCCAGA